CACAUUGAUCUUUGUUUUGAAGCGAUUCAUAAUUAGUAAUAUACUGAGUUGAGUUUUUCAGUUUGUGCUUAACUAACUCAAUUAGUAAAUGUAAAUGAAGAAUGGCGCACCCUGUAUUAAAAUGUAUCACUAAAAUAUUUCAAUUGGGAUUUCCUCGGAUAUAAAUAUGAUAGUUCUUAUCGCUUUGUGGUAAAGCAAGCAUACAUACAUACACAUAAAUAUUUGUGGGCAUAUGCUGCUUAUCAAUCGAAAUUUUGUGUAAUACAGUAGUCAUUGGGUAAGAAGAACCUUAACACAGGUCAUAGGAAUAAAAAAAAAAACAUUUCUAGUGCAAUUUAAUUAAAAAAAACACCGUAAAACGUUAACUUCGUGCGCCCUGAAUUGAGGUAAGUACUACUAUGAGCAAAAAAUAGUAAGACUUUUUGCUUUACAUUUCGCGUGAAAACCCAUUCGUCGAAAUAUUUUUUUCUAUGUUGGUAUGACUGUAAGUGACAUCUGUGCUAAAUGUCAUAUCAAAAUAAUCAGUAGUGUUCAGUGUACGUUUGUCUUUCUGAAGAACAUAAAGUGCAUUCGGCGUUCUUUAGGAUGAGUGAAAUUAUUCAACAAAGAAGUUCCAUUAAAUUAUGUGUGUGGAAUCAAAUUUCUAGUGCCGAAACGUUCAGAAUGUUGGAAAAGGCCUUCGAUGAUAAUUGUUUGUCUCGAGCAAGAGUUUUUGAUUGGUACAAAUUAUUCAAAGAGGGUCGAGAACGCGUUGACGACGAAUCACAUCCAGAACGGUCAUCGAUAUCAACUGAUGGUCAAUAAAAUAUAGGAAUUAGUGUUUGAGAAUCGACGACUAGCAAUCAUAAAUUUUACUGGCAUCGUUGGAAUAUCGGAAGGAUCAGUGAAAACCAUUUUGAAAGAUCAUUUGGACUUAAGAAAUGCUAAUGCACGAUUGAUUCCAAAAUCACAAAAUAUUUUCGAAAGAAAGUGUCGCGUUAAGGUCUGUGAAACAAUGCUUUCCGACUAUCAGGAUGUCAUGAAAUGUGUUAUUACUGGCGAUGAGUCUUAGAUCUAUGCUUACGACCCAGAAAGAGACGAUCGUCGGCCGAACAUCGUGGCAAAGGUGAACCAAAGUCGAAAAAAUCACAUCAAAGCAAAUCAAGUUGCCAGUGUUCUUCGACCAUCAAGGUACGGUGCACUCCAAAUUCCUUCUUAUAGACCAAACAGUCAACAAGGAAUAGUAUUUGAGUGUUACGCGAAGUUUAAGUGAAGCUAUUCGUAAAAAGAGAAUGAAAUUAUAGGCCAACAACUCUUGGUUCUUGCACUAUGAUAAUGUACCGCAUUGAUUCUUCGUGAGCUUUUUUGCCAAAUUUUCAACCAAUAUCGUGUCACAACCACCGUAUUCGUCUGAUUUAGCUCCGUAUGACUUCUGGCUAUUCAGAAACUCAAACGUUCGGUCCAAGGAAACGUUUUGACCUAAGUGAAAAUAUUAUGCGAGUAUCACCACGCACAUUGAAGGCUAUUCCGAAAAUUGACAUUGACAACUGUCGCUAGGAUUGAAAAAAAAACACGUUGACACAAGUGUAUUGGGGCCAGGGGUAAUCCCCCUUUUUGAGGAGGACGACAUAGAUUUUGAAGAAUAAAUUAAUAACUUUAAAAUUAUGAACAAAGUCUCAUUAUUUUAUGCUCAUAUAUUGUAGUAGUAUAAUCCGAGCCAAAUUUGAAGAAAAUAUCUUGGCAAGUAAAAAAUUUUUAUAUACAAAAACUUGAUUUUGAUCGUUUCAUCCACUCGUCACACUGAUCAUUCAUUGGUAUACCUUUUGGGGGACUCUCCCCAUCAAUUUCACGUUACAAACUGUAUGACAAACUUAGAACAAAAAUAUUUUUGUGGUUAUUAAUUACUGUUGUAUGAAAAAACUCACACGUCAUUCUUGUGGAAUUGCCAGAAAUGUAUCCAGAUGAGAGUCCAACACACAAGUAUGUAUUUAUUUUUAGGAACAUAUUAUACCUAAAAGCUGUAUGUGACAUUAUAAGUUCAUUUAUCAAGCCUUUGUAAUUUUCCGAUUUAUGGUGUCCUAGAAAAUUUAUGAAAACGUUCACAAAACAUUUCCGAAUGAGUUUUCUUGAACAUUUAGUUUGUCUUCAAAGCUCUUAUACUUUUGUAUACCUUGUUUGGGAAAUUCUAUUUCAGAUAUACAAUUUCAAUUAAAUUUUGUAUCUUCAUAAUAAUGUUUUUUAAAAACUGUGAUUUGCUUGGAUAUGUUAUCAAUUAAACGCAUAAGGGUGACUUAAGGAGUUAGGUUAGGUUGGGUUAUAGGCUAAUAUUCAUGACACCAAAAAUAAUCCCACUUGGACUGCCACUUACGCUUAUCCAUUGUGAUGUCCAGAACUCUUAAGUACAGAUUUGAAAGAUCGACGUAUAUCUACAAAGCGCAUAGAGCCAACCACAAAUUUAUUGAGCUGACUAAUAUCUACUCCAUCUAAUUUGCCGGUUGUUCCAACUUUAGUCUGGCGAAAGCUGGGCAGGGAAGGAGAAAUUGUUUAGAUAUUUCCACCUCAUUUUCCUUCCUUAGAUCCAACGCUCUUGUGUGCGCAAACAGGGGAACCCCUGAUCAUUCCUAUUUCAAGGGGAUUUGAAUCGGAAAUUUGAUUGUAUCGAGCUCAUCUGCUUUACAGUUUCCAAAUAUUCCGCUGUGGCACCCAGACAAGUUUAAUAUGGAAAUAGCUUGAUGACUUAACUAAAGAGGCCUUUGACUAGCUGGCAGCACGUAAGAAGACUGGUUAACAGGUCUCGAUAGAAGUCUAAAACCGAAGUAACUAACCUGAAUGCUACCCUAUGUGCGCUUAUAUAAUUACAUAUAUACACAGAGUUUAUGCUGAAGUCGAGGAGGCUUUCCCUUUAAAGCACGCCUUUGUUUAUUCAUUUCAAAUAUUGCUCACACAUCGCUCAAAAAAACUCGCUUUUAUGUAUGUGGUUUCAAUGAGACCUUCAAAUGUUCAAAUGGUGAUAAGCAGCUGCAGUUUAUUCGCAUGUAAACAACUCGUAGAAGUGGCGAGAAUUAGUCCAAUUUCAAAAAGGCGUCUGUGGAGAACGUUUUUCACACAGCAGUAGGGUAAUGUCAAUCAUUGGUACAGAAAUGGAUUUUGAGUCUAUAAUUUGGUUUACUCUACUGCUAACUUUAAUGGUGCUUGCAAUAUUCGCCUAUUGGUAUUGGUAUAUAUGGCGGCCAAAUGAAGUCGUACGCAAUGUGAUACGAAAAUCAACAGCGCAGUGUGAUGAUAACGAAGGAGUAUACAACGAAUUAUUGUGCGAUUGAAGUUUUUUUCAUUAAAGUUAAUAACUUAUAAGACAUAUUAGUAAGGCUUCUGACGAAAAAGCAUUUUCUUUUUUCACUUUAUGCUUUACCAUAUAAUAAAACAAAGAAAACAAGAAAAAUCGUUAACUUUAAUUGCACCAAAGCUACACAAUACCCUUUAAAAUACAAAAAAUUUCAAGCAAGCACUUGUUUCCGAUCAUCCAGCCCGAUGUAGGUGGUUCCGACAUAUGAACAGCUUCUUGGUUGGGGAAAGAGGGAUACAAAAUUUCAAAUCUAUAUCUGAAAAAUUGAAGGACUAAAUCGACUCAUCUCGUCAUGCUGUUCAUUUAGACAUAUUUUUUGUAGGGUCUGCGAAGUUUCUUUUUGGGUGUAAAAAACAUCGUGACAAACUUAAUAUACCCUGUUUAGGGUAUAAAAAACACUGAAGUUGCGAACGGCGAGCACAGCCUGCCUGCGAAUGAUAAAAACAUAAAUAAAUAAAAGUCUUAGUAAUUUUACUAAAAUAAUUAUUGCUCAUACAAAGCGCACAUAUGCUCACAAACAAUAAAAAAUAAAAAAAAUACGAUAUUACAAUAUUACGCCACGAGGCGCGAUAAGAAUUAGUGCAAAAUCAAUUUUAUUAAAUUAUUCAUAGUUCUAUGCCAAUGCUUGCCUCAGUUUUGCUUCAAUUUUCAUGCAGUGCGCAUGCCUUUCUCGUCACAAUUGCAAAAUCGUAAAAAAAAUGUUGGCGCUGCUCAAAAUUGGAAUUAUCACAUCUUUGCUGAUCAGUUGCACAUGGGUAAUGGUAACAGGCGAUGAACUGUACAACUCAAGAUGCGAGAAUAAUGUCUGUAACUGCAGCUUCGGUACUCAGGAAACAGUUUUGGGCGGCGUUAAGUACUGCCUUAGCAACUGCCCAAAUAACGCUGUUCGGUUAUCGUUUCGGAUAUGUGAAUGCCGGAAUGGAUAUCAGUACAUUGACGAGCAACGUACAAAGUGUGUGCGAACGAAUGGGCUUGCUGGGAAUCAGGAGAAUCGCGUCGAUGAAGUUGACGACACAUUAAGUGGUACGGCCGCCAGCACUACAUCAAGGAUAACUACCAACAAAGCGAGAAUUGCAGAUAUUAACACCACAGAGAACUCGUACGAUUAUAGGACGACCACUGAAACUAUUUCAACCAGUGUAGCUACUAAUACAACUAAUCGGGGAGAAUAUGUAAAUGUGAACAGUGUUGGUGAUAUUGAAGAUAUAUAUCUCUGGAUUGGUGCGCUAGUAAUGGCCUUGGUUUUGUUAGUGUUGAUCGCCUUUCUAUUUAUCUCACGCAAUUGAUUUGUGUUUGCAAAAUGUUAUUGUACACAAAAAUGCACUUUACAAUGUAAUUGUUAGCAAUAGUGAUUCUUCUCUUACUUAGUCCGCUCAACAAAGGAACUCAUAUACUUGAGCAAGAAGCGCCCCUUUUCCCCACCGUUCAUCUGAUUUGAGACCCUGUAUAAUACACACGCUCGCCACUGUACAUUGAUGCACUCAUAUCUUAUGUUUCUUAGAGACAAUUAAAAAUAAAAUAUAAUUCUAAGUAUAAGAAUUUGUAAAAAGGUUGCCAUUAAAUAAAUUCGUAUCUACUAAAAUUAUAAAAAUAAGAA